GCUCAGACCUGGAAUCCCAGCAGUUUGGGAGGCCGAGGUGGGAGGACUGCAUGAAGCCAGGAAUUCAAGACCAGCCUGGGCAACAGAGCAAGACCCUGUCCCUACAAAAAUCUUUUUUUAAUUAGCAAAGCUUGGUGGUACACACCUGCAGUCCUAGCUACUCAGGAGACUGAGGAAGGAGGAUCGCUUGAGCAGGACUGCAGUGAGCUAUGAUCAUAUCACUGCACUCUAGCCUGAGUGACAGAGUGAGACCCUGUCUCAAAACAAACAAAAACCUAUAGAAUGUAUAACACAAACAGUGAAUCUUAAGGUAAAUUAUAGACUUAAUAAUAAUGCAGCAACAUCAGUUCCUGAUUCUAACAAACAACACAUUGGUUAAUUUCAGAUGUAGACAACAGGGAAAGCUGGGAUGCAUGAGGUAUAUGUGGAAACUCUCUCAGCAAAAACAAAGGCAGAUGCCAGUAACACGUGGCUGGAGGCUAAAGCACAUGGAAAACAGUGAGCCUGAAGAGAGAAGAUGAAAACAGACGCCCCCUCUCACUGGAGAAAUUUGCUGAAGUGGAAAUCCAUCCUUUAAGAGAAGAGCACUUGGAUUAGCUGGGAAGGGUCCUCGCAACCUAAGGUUAUUCUGGGGCAAACAGAACUGGUUUCUCAGACAGACACUCUCCUUCCAUGUAGAAGUGCUCUGAGCCAUGGCUGCUGUAAGCGCUCAAGACAGCAGAGAAGUUUCCGGUGACAUGAGGCAGUCUUGGUGCAAUUCCUAAACAUUCCUGGCACUUCCACAGAGCUGCCUGGAGAGGAACAGUGCCAGCAGCAACCCAUUCUCUCUGUGCCCAUCCCAACCUCCCUAUUCCCACACUUUGCUGGUCAAAGUCAGACUCAUCUUUAGUCAAAGAAAGGCAUUCUUCAGCCACAGCAUUGGUCUCCAUCAAAAUGGCAAAGAUUUAAAAAUGAAAAUAAUGGAUCAGGCGAGGUAGCUUACGCCUGUAAUCCCAGCACUUUGGGAGGCUGGGGAGGGUAGAUCGCAAGGUCAGGAGUUCAAGACCAGCCUGGCCAAGAUGGUGAAACUCUGUCUCUACUAAAAAUACAAAAAUUAGCCAGGCAUGGUGGUGGGUGCCUGUAAUCCCAGCUACUCAAGAGGCUGAGGCAGAGAAUUGCUUGAACCUGGGAGGCAGAGGUUGCAGUGAGCUGAGAUCGUGCCACUGCACUAUAGCCUGGGUGACAGAGUGAUACUCCAUCUCAAAAAAGAAAGAAAAUAGUGUUGGCAGUUGUGCAAUGAGAUAGAAGAGCUCCUACAUUGUGAGUGGGAAUGUGAUGGGCCAGUAAAUGCCCAAAGCCAUGGAAAUGUUCAUACUCUUCAACCCAGCAGUUCCACUCCUCAGAAUCUGCCCUAAGGGAAUACCCAGAUGCCGUCACAGGUUUUAUGUACAUCGAUGCUCGUUUCAGCAUUAUUCAUAAUAGCAACCAACUUGGAAACUACCAAAAUAUCUGAUGAUAAUGAAGUGAUUACUCAAAUCCAAAGUAUUGAAUAUUAAACAGCCAUUAAAUACUAUAUUUUUAAAGAACAUGGGGAAAGACCCUUGACAUGUGAAAUGAAAGACAAAAGGGCUGUCCAAUUGUCUAAAUACAAUGACUUCAAUGUUGUUAAACAUAGAUCCGAAGCCUGCAAGGACACUCCCUCAAAUGUGUACUGUCGUUGCUCUGGAUUAAAGAUAGUUAUAAUUAUCUUCUUUGUCCUUCUUGGUUUUUCUCAAAUUUUCAUGUAAGCACAUAUAUUAUUUUUCACUUGGAAAAACCUAUUAAAAAUAAAAAGUCCUAUCACAUCUCAAGGCUCAGCUUAAAUUACACUUUUCCCUGGAAACUCUCUCACACGGGUAUGACAAGCAUU
rnacentral:lncRNA from 1 species